CCUACGGGAGGCAGCAGUGGGGGAUAUUGCACAAUGGGGGGAACCCUGAUGCAGCGACGCCGCGUGGGUGAAGAAGCGCCUCGGCGCGUAAAGCCCUGUCAGCAGGGAAGAAAAUGACGGUACCUGAAGAAGAAGCCCCGGCUAACGACGUGCCAGCAGCCGCGGUAAUACGAAGGGGGCAAGCGUUAUCCGGAUUUACUGGGGGGAAAGGGGGCGCAGACGGCGAUGCAAGCCAGGAGUGAAAGCCCGGGGCCCAACCCCGGGACUGCUCUUGGAACUGCGUGGCUGGAGUGCAGGAGGGGCAGGCGGAAUUCCUGGUGUAGCGGUGAAAUGCGUAGAUAUCAGGAGGAACACCGGUGGCGAAGGCGGCCUGCUGGACUGCAACUGACGUUGAGGCCCGAAAGCGUGGGGAGCAAACAGGAUUAGAUACCCUUGUAGUC
rnacentral:rRNA from 1 species